UGGGGAAACAGAUAAAACUGAAAGAGGUGGAGGGGACCCUCCUGCAGCCUGCAACUGUGGACAACUGGAGCCAGAUCCAGAGCUUCGAGGCCAAACCAGAUGAUCUCCUCAUCUGCACCUACCCUAAAGCAGCCUCAGGGACAACGUGGAUUCAGGAAAUUGUGGAUAUGAUU
rnacentral:sRNA from 1 species